rnacentral:sRNA from 8 species
UAGUCCCGGCGGCCACAGGACGCGCGGAGGCGGGGCGGGGCGGGCACUGCUGUCAGCCGCGAGCCGGGACUUGUACA